CAGGCUUCUCAUUCCAUUGUUGCCAUCAAAAUUAUCUUGAGAGAGAGAGAGAGAGAGAGAGAGAGAGAGAGAAAUAGCGUGUUUUUUUUGCUUUGUGCGAAGAGAUAGAGAGCUCGAUUGUUGCUGUAAUCACUUUUGCAGGGAAAGUGAUCUUACAGCCAAGUACUGUUCGAGAUCUUCCAUCAACAUCAAUCUCCAUAGAAACUGGGGGUUUUAACCUUUCAACGAUUCCAAGAUCCAACUUUUUUGGAGAUUCUGAAGGAAAAGGAUUCCGUUGAAAAGAAAUAAAAUAGGUUUGACACAAGAUCAGUUACUACAUUCGUUGAACAAAAGUUCUCCAGAGAUGGUAUUCAAGUAAAAACAGGUCCCUAGGUUGUAAAAGUAGCUGAUCCAUUCUCAAAGCCGAUCUCCGAUACUGUUUGCAUGAACAAAGAUGUAGUUAAGGAAUUUGACCCUUAUUUUAUUCCCCAAUGUCUUUGCAGAGCAAAAGCUGGCUUCAAGCUUGGCAGAUAGUGUUAUUCAAAUGUCUCAAGAUGUGAUU